ensembl:miRNA
UAUUAGGUUGGUGCAAAAGUAAUUGCAGGUUUUGCCAUUAAUUUCAAUGGCAAAACCUGCAGUUACUUUUACACCAAUCUA